UACGGGGGGGGCAAGCGUUGUUCGGAAUUAUUGGGCGUAAAGAGCUCGUAGGCGGUUUGUCGCGUCUGCCGUGAAAGUCCGGGGCUCAACUCCGGAUCUGCGGUGGGUACGGGCAGACUAGAGUGAUGUAGGGGAGACUGGAAUUCCUGGUGUAGCGGUGAAAUGCGCAGAUAUCAGGAGGAACACCGGUGGCGAAGGCGGUUCUCUGGGCCUGUACUGACGCUGAGGAGCGAAAGCGUGGGGAGCGAACAGG
rnacentral:rRNA from 1 species